CUCUGGGCCGCCCCUCUCAGCCCACCGUCCUCCUGGCAGUGGGAAAGAAGCAGAGACAUGGCUGGGCCCCUGGCAGGGACCCCACGGGCCAGGCCAGCGUUCUCCUUCCCACAGGCCUUGUCUGUGUUUAGACCUGAUUUCUAUCUCCUGCUGAAAAUAGUUCUGUUUAAGAAUGUAUGGAAGGCCGGGCGCGGUGGUUCACACCUGUAAUCCCAUCACUUUGGGAGGCCGAGGUGAGUGGAUCCCUGAGGUCAGGAGUUCGAGACCAUCCUGGCCAACAUGGUGAAACCCCGUCUCUACCAAAAAAUGCAAUAAUUAGCCGGAUGUGGUGCCACUGGCCUGUAAUCCCAGCUACUCGGGAGGCCGAAGCAGGAGAAUCGUUUGAACCCAGGAGGCGGAGGCUGCCGUGAGCCGAGAUCAUGCCACUGCCCUCCAGCCUGGGUGACAGAGUGAGACCCUGUCUCAAAACAAACAUGCAAUUCUAUAGGCCAAGGUAUUCAUGGACCACGUUCGUCAAUGCAUGUUUUCAACCAAUGUGUACUGUACGUGAGGUGAGUGUUCACCUAACUGAAAACUGGAAUGUUUGUGGGAA
rnacentral:lncRNA from 10 species